UACGUAGGUGACCAGCGUUGUCCGGAUUUACUGGGCGUAAAGAGCGCGCAGGCGGUCGUUCAAGUCGGGUGUGAAAGCCCUCGGCUCAACCGAGGAACUGUGCCCGAUACUGCUUGGCUUGAGGGUUGGAGGGGAGAGUGGAAUUCCCGGUGGAGCGGUGAAAUGCGUAGAGAUCGGGAAGAACGCUGGCGGCGAAAGCGACUCUCUGGUCAACUUCUGACGCUGAGGCGCGAAAGCUAGGGGAGCAAACGGG
rnacentral:rRNA from 1 species